UGGAUGGGAAAUGGCAUGAAGGGGCCUUAGGACUGAGGACUGUGGCUGGAGAGGAGGGACAGAGAGACCGAAUGAACGAAAACACAACUGAGGCAGACGUUGUGACACAUGUGGUGUUUGAAUUAUCAGAACUGGGAAAAUUCAUAUGAACGUCCCCUCAAACUGGAACAACAACUCGGAAAGUCUGCAAAAAUUUUGCUCACGAACACACCGAAGUCAGAAGAACGAAGAAAUGGGACCAUCCAAGCAGCACUUGAAUGCACCAUUCACAGACCUGUCA